UAACAUAUGCACUUAAUAAUAAAAUUCAUAUACGAUUGCUCCUAUAUUGGUAUCUCCUUAUUUCCCGGACUAUUUGCAGUUAGGUCUAUUGGAAUCAUCUCUUUACCUUCUACGAGGUAAAGGCAAGUCUGCGUACAUUUUAUCCUCCCCGCCUUACUUGUGUUGUUGUCGGUAAAAAUUCUGACUCUGUCACUGUGAAAGGACGGUCUAU
rnacentral:lncRNA from 1 species